rnacentral:tmRNA from 1 species
UAACUUCCUUUUUCUUUGAAAAACGUGUAUAAUAUCCUUGUUCCUUUAAGGAACUAUGAUGCUAAACGGGAAGCGAAAUAUACGCUGUGGACUCGGGGGCGGUACCCGACACCUCCACCAUUUACGGGGGUGAACAAGUUUCGACACGCGUCGUAAAGGCUUUUUCUUGUAUCCGGUAU